rnacentral:lncRNA from 1 species
CAGUGGAGGCUGUGCAGUCAUCCUGCUCCUCUCAGGGAGGGGCCUGCUGUCCUGAGAGCCCAGAGGGGGCUUCUCGUCAAAGCCCUUUGGGUGCCGUCUGGACCAGAGAGGUCCGAGUGAGGGGCCUGGGGGAUCAGCAGGGCACUCUGGCCCUUGUCGCUCUUCUGAUGCCCAGGCUGACAUGGAGGCGGGGGGUCCCUCACCUGCUGGUUGGAGAGCAGCGAGAAGCUGACAUUGCAGACCCUGAGACCCAGCCCUCAUGUGCCCGAGGCUGCCAAGGACGUGUGGAGCUGAAGACGAGGGCUGCUGGAGGCAGAGGGCUAUGGGGAUGCUGAGGACGGAACGUAUACUCCUGGCCCCCAAGGAGUGGAGGAUCGGCAGAGCCCAGACCCCGCAGGGCACCCCGUGCCAGCGUCCAACUCCAGGGGCUUCUAGGAGCUGGGGCGUCUUGGUCCCUUCUGGGUAUGGAGGGAGUGAGAGCCCAACAGAACUCGGAACCGGUAAGCAGGCGCCUCAUCCUAGAGAAGCCCCUGCCCAGCUGGCUUGGCCGGAGCCCUUGAUGAGCAGCGUGUCCUCCUGUGCGUCCUGAGGUCCCAAGGCUGCAGCCACAGACAUUGGUCAUUUGCCCAGAAGAACCAAAGGGGGCCCAGAGCAGCCGGACGCGCCUUCCUGUGAACUGCCCGCAGCACCGGAUCCCGACCCAGGACCCUUCUCCCUGCUCCCGCCUAGAGCUUGCCUUCCCCUCCCGAUAUUUCUAAUUUCUACUUUUCAUUUGACAUUACUUACGGUGCCUUUCAGUUGAGGCCUCACUGUCACAGCAUUUAAUUCUUUACACUGUACAUCAUGCACUUCCUAAGCAUGGAGUAUACUCAAUGAUGCUGAGUGACCUUCCCCGCGGUUCCACUCCAGAGGAAACCCUGACCCGAGGGCUUGCUCCCUGGCCGCACUCACCUUCCGAGAUGGACCCCACUGUGGAUCUCCCUCAGCAGAUCCAUUUCUGACCUAAAGGAACAAAAGCCGCCCACCCCCCAGCCCCCCUCCCCCAGCCGCUGACG